AGCACAUAGAGCCACGGGGGGACUGGCUCGCCAUCCCCUUCUCUUCCACAGACGCUCACUGCGGCGGCCGCUCUGUUCUUCCACAUACGCGCACCAGGGCGGCGACUCUGGACCGGCGAGAUGUCCACCGACGGCCUCGAGCUCGACGGCGCCGGCCGGUUGGAAUGGUUCUCUCCACCCAGUGGAGUCACAGGAUUCCAUGAGUGCGGCCGAGGUCGAGAUCGACAAGGGCGGCAAAGCACAGCAAGAUGGAGAUGCAGCCAGAUACGAGGUGUGCUCUGAAGCUACGAGUGGCUGGACACGAAGGGAUAGAAUCGGGAAAGCGCCAGAUGAGAGGGAGAUGAACCCUGACAGGAAAACAACGCUUGAAUUGUCUGUUUGCACUUAUGCCGAAGUGCAUAAACUGUGGGGUGGUUGGACAUUGCAGCAAUGCAUGCGGUACUAAAAAGAGCUGACCGUUUGAGCCUAACUUCCUCUAGAUUGAAACUGGCUGUGAUGUUUGAUGCCAUCAAGUCUCCAUGUGGUUGUGUGGUGGUAAUUUCUCUAUUUGGGAUGUCUGAAUUUUAAUUUGUGCUACCAACAGUAAUUCUCCUGAUGUCUGUUAACUUCAUUUGAACAGUUUUGCUGUGUGAUUGCAGUUCUGUUGCUUGGUCAACUAAAAUUUUAGUUUUACUACUGAUGGGGUGGCCUGUUCUUAGUUUUGUCAAAAACUGUGUUGUUUUUGCUGUCGAAGGCAGUAGAGCGUCUGUAAUUCCAGUGCUUGGCUUGUUAGGCAGGAAGCUGAAAAUUAAAAUUAUAAGAUGAUGUUGCUGGUGCCUACA